CUUCCUGUGUGGACUCCUGUGAUUCCCUGUGUUCACGUAUAGUUGUGUUUUGCUGACAUUUUAAUUGGAGUUUUGUUGGACUUCAGAGUUGGAGAAAAGACAGGACAGUGGAUAGAGUCGGAAAUCAGGGAGAGUGAGAGUCGGGAAUGACAAACGGAGAAGGAGCCAAAGGUUGGAUUUGAACCAGGGCUGCUCGCUUUGAGGACUACAGCCUUUGCACAUAGGACGCCCAAACUAACCACUCGGCCACUGGUGCCCCUGGGUCUUUAAAGGCACACUCACAGGCAGUGGACAAUGGUGCGUCCCUCUCCACACUCCCUCUGCCAGUUGUGAACCUGAGCCAGGAGGCUAAUGAAGGCUUUCUU